AAAUGGCCGUACAUCCGUCUCGUUUCGUUCAUCUCAUCGAUGAAUAGUCAGCCAUAGGUCUUUCACUCGAAGAAUAUCGAAUAGGGCAGACGUGUGCCGGCACAGCCAACACUUAAAACCUUUUCACAAGUACUUUUUCAAGUAAAAUGAGAGCUAAGUGGCGUAAGAAGCGUAUGCGAAGGCUAAAGCGUAAGCGUAGAAAGAUGCGUGCGCGUUCCAAGUAAUGAAAUGUGCUGCGACGCAUUCCUCUACAGAAAACGACUUCUUUGGCCCGGCCGGAAUGGAAUUAAAAUAUCAAUUCACAUUAUUUGUAGAUUAAAAUGCAAAUAAAAUUUUGGUCUGCCGAGAAA